GAUAGUGAACCAGUACCGUGAGGGAAAGGUGAAAAGAACCCUGAAUAAGGGAGUGAAAUAGUUCCUGAAACCGUACGCCUACAAGCGGUCGGAGCAGACUUGUUCUGUGACGGCGUGCCUUUUGCAUAAUGAUCCUACGAGUUACUCCUCACUAGCAAGGUUAAUCCGUUGAGCGGAGCAGCCGAAGCGAAAGCGAGUCUGAAUAGGGCGCUUAGUUAGUGGGGGUAGACGCGAAACCCGGUGAUCUACCCAUGGCCAGGUUGAAGCUCUGGUAACACAGAGUGGAGGACCGAACCAGUUGACGUUGAAAAGUCUUUGGAUGAGCUGUGGGUAGGGGUGAAAGGCUAAUCAAACUGGGAAAUAGCUCGUUCUCCCCGAAAUGCAUUUAGGUGCAGCCUCAAGUUUAGUUUAGUAGAGGUAGAGCGACUGGUUGGAUGCGGGGGCUUCACCGCCUACCAAAUCCUGUCAAACUCCGAAUGCUACUAAAUAUACUUGGGAGUGAGGGCAUGGGUGCUAAGGUCCAUGUCCGAGAGGGAAACAACCCAGACUAUCUGCUAAGGCCCCCAAAUGUAUGCUAAGUUGAUCAAACGUGGUCUGAUUGCUUUGACAGCUAGGAUGUUGGCUUGGAAGCAGCCAUUCAUUUAAAGAGUGCGUAACAGCUCACUAGUCGAGCGAUCGGGCGUGGAUAAUAAUCGGGCAUUAAGCAUACUGCCGAAGCAAUAGCAUCGAAAGAUGGGUAGGGGAGCAUUCUAGUUGCGCUGAAGGUGAACUGUGAGGUUUGCUGGAGCGGCUAGAAAAGAAAAUGUAGGAAUAAGUAACGAUAAAGCAGGCGAGAAACCUGCUCACCGAUAGACUAAGGUUUCCUGAACAACGCUAAUCGGUUCAGGGUUAGUCGGGACCUAAGGCGAACCCGAAUGGGGUAGUCGAUGGAAAACGGGUUAAUAUUCCCGUACUUGUGUAUACUGCGAUGGGGUGACGGAGUAGUGAAAGUCCUGCGUACUGACGGAAUAGUACGUUGAAGCCAGUAGAUAUAGGCACUGUAGGUAAAUCCGCAGAGCUUGUCGAAGGUGAUAGUACUCGGAGUCUUCGGAUGAAGAGAUAUGGACCUAAUCAGACUUCCAAGAAAAACCUCUAAGCUUCAGGUAUACACGACUCGUACCGCAAACCGACACAGGUAGUCAAGGAGAGAAUCCUAAGGUGCUCGAGUGAUCCGUGGCUAAGGAACUAGGCAAAUUAACCCCGUAACUUCGGAAUAAGGGGAGCCUCCUUCGGGAGGUCGCAGAGAAAUGGCCCAGGCGACUGUUUAUCAAAAACACAUGGCUUUGCAAAAUCGAAAGAUGAAGUAUAAGGCCUGACACCUGCCCGGUGCUGGAAGGUUAAGUGGAGGGUUUAGAAGUUUACUUCGAAGAUCUCAAAUGAAGCCCCAGUAAACGGCGGCCGUAACUAUAACGGUCCUAAGGUAGCGA
rnacentral:rRNA from 14 species